UACAGAGGGGGCAAGCGUUGUCUGGAAUUAUUGGGUGUAAAGGGUGCGUAGACGGAGAAGCAAGUUGGUUGUGAAAUCCCUCGGCUUAACUGAGGAACUGCAACCAAAACUAUUUCCCUUGAGUGUCGGAGGGGAAAGUGGAAUUCCUAGUGUAGCGGUGAAAUGCGUAGAUAUUAGGAGGAACACCGGUGGCGAAGGCGACUUUCUGGACGAUAACUGACGUUGAUGCACGAAAGUGUGGGGAGCAAAC
rnacentral:rRNA from 1 species